CUCCGCCGGCGAUUUUGCCCCAGGCGAGGAUAAGGAAGAAGUCGUGAUGCAGGACGCCGCGCGUGGCGUUUACAAGCGUAUCGUUCUGCGCGACAAGAAAAUUGUCGGCGCCGUGCUCUACGGAGACACUGUCGACGGGCCUUGGUACUUCCAGCAUCUGCGCGACGGCACCGAUAUAUCGCAGAUGCGCGAGCGUCUCGUGUUCGG
rnacentral:misc_RNA from 1 species